UUUGACCAACCAUAAUUUAAUUUAAUGCAUUAUUUAAUUGAUUUUAAUUGUUUAAAUGCAAAAUAAAUUGUGUUGAGCUUUUGAUAUUGACUUGUUGAGUUUGACAUGUGUUAUUGAGCCUUGGUCAAGGUUGAUUUGACUUUGUUGAGUUAAAAUCAUUGGAUUUAGGGGAUUGAUGAAAUGGACAUUUCAUCUCCCAAAAUGAAUGAAUGAUUUGAAUUUGAUAAAAGUACUCCUUUAACCAAUUUGU
rnacentral:lncRNA from 1 species